GUGAGUUCUCCGUGGUCACGUGGCCCAUACGGGGCAGAGGCAGGCUCUUCUGAGGCUUAUUCCAGUCCGAUACUCUUGACCCCUGAGCACAUGGCCUCUUUUGCUGAAAUGUCUCACCAUCUUUGAUUAUCAAGCUAUGCAUUCUAGGCUCACGUCUACAGCUCCUAGAGAGAGUCUUCUCGAGGCACAAUGUCUGACUUCACCAGCUCCCACCACGUCUUUGCCUGCCCUGGACUGAGAAUAUUCGCUCUUCCUCAUGACCUGUGGGUCAUUUGCUGGUCCUCUGGAAGGAAGAAGGCACUCAGUGAGUUGGAUUCUCUCUUCCACACCACAGGAGCCUUGUGGCCUGGAGUUGGCGCGGCCUCCUCUGGAGCUGGUGAUGGGCUUGUAAAAGGGGCUGGACUUGGCCAAGGCAAGUUCAGAGACUCGUUCAGGAAAGACCCUGAGACCCAAGCCAGGUAGAAAGUCAAGCAGAAUUCUUAUCUCCCUCUUCAUUUAGUUAAUUCUUGCUCCCCCUUUAAGUUCGGGCCCCAACUCCCUCUGGAAGACUUCCAAGGGACAAGUUAGAUGCUGAGCCUUGGACUUCUGGAAUAUCCAGUGUGCCUCUCAGAACCUUGGUAAGAGCAGGGAUCGUGCAUCCGGAGUGUUGGGGCUGGAGUCCGCUGCAGAUGCACUGUGCACGUUUAUUGAAUAAAGUUGACAUUCUUCUAACCACCGUCGAGGACCCUGGGCUGUUGGAGGAAGCUUCUCUCUGGCCCGCAGGGUCCCACUGUCUGCAGACGCCACACCAGCGCUCAUUCUCCCCACCCUCUCUGCUCCCACCAGUCAGUGCGUGCUUCCCAGGAGUCACUUGUGUUUGUUCCUGACCCUGUUUAUGGCAGUUUAUGCUUUCCAUUAUAAUACUGUGAUUUCAGGAGUGAGUGCUCAGUAGAUGCAACUCACCAUGACCAUAUUUCCAUCCAGAAAAAAGGCUGGACGCAAACACUGAGGUGGUAUUACAGGCUCCUUUUCUCCCUGAUUUCUCUGAACUCACUUCCUCUGUGCCUCCGGUUGUGAUCGAGGUCUUCACUACGGCUCCCAUCCCUGCUGCUGUUGGGAGUACUGCACAUCUGCCCACUGAGCCCGAAAGGGGCUUCGCCCAGAACGUGAGCUCUUUGAAGGUGUGACGCUGCUCUCCCGUGAGGCAAAGAGAAGCCGAG
rnacentral:lncRNA from 1 species